UCCGUAGGUGGCAAGCGUUGUCCGGAUUUACUGGGCGUAAAGAGCGCGCAGGCGGUCGUUCAAGUCGCGUGUGAAAGCCCCCGGCUCAACUGGGGAGGGUCACGCGAUACUGAUCGACUCGAAGGCAGGAGAGGGUAGUGGAAUUCCCGGUGUAGUGGUGAAAUGCGUAGAUAUCGGGAGGAACACCAGUGGCGAAGGCGACUACCUGGCCUGUUCUUGACGCUGAGGCGCGAAAGCGUGGGGAGCAAACAGG
rnacentral:rRNA from 1 species